UGUUCCCUGAACCUGACAUUUGAUGCCC
rnacentral:piRNA from 1 species